GACAAAUCUUCAUCAUUAAAAAAAUACCAGUAGCAGUUGAAGCUGCAAGGAGAGACUGAUGGAAAAUGACAGUGACUGGACAGAAAAUGAUGAUGGUGAAGAACUAUAGAAAACUUGGGAAAACUUAUAGCUACCAUCAAAAUAGCAGUCAUUGAUUCCAAUAUUCCAGCCAAUGUAUCCCUCUCGUAGGACUGGUGUUACCAGUUUUAUAUAUCAGCAGUUUGUCCCGGCAGUUUGUUCCAGUUGUGUCCUGCAGUUUGUUCCAGCAAUUUGGUUGUU